GAGGAGGAGGAGGAGGAGGAGGAUGUCGGGGAAACUAGUGCCGAAGUGAUGCGUGGAUGCGCUUGUGUGAGGAAGCAGCGGAGGAGACACGAGUUGAAGUGAGCGGUGCUGAUUGCUGAUGUCAGCACAACUGUGACAAGACUGCAUCAGCAACAUGGGUGACGAGCAGAUCCUGGACGGAGAGGCUGCUGAGGCCAGGAGUCGGACCGGACGGCUGAGCAGGGCAGGAAUGAUGCAACAACUGCUUUAGAGAACAAAUAAAGCUUGAUUCUGAAAAUUUA